GUAGCAGUAAUUCAACAAACCGGAAGAACACUACCUUGCUAAGGUAGAGGAUGCGGGUUCGAACCCCGUCUGUUGCU
rnacentral:tRNA from 1 species